CCAAGCCGUCGCUCCCUCUUCUCUUCUUCCGCCUCCCUCUUCUCCUCUCUUCUCCCUAUCCCCAUAUCCUCUUCUUCUUUUUUUUCUUCGAGCAGCAGCAGCAACCGUGGACAGCAGCAGCAGCGCCAACAACCCCAACGCCCAGCAGCUUCAUCCGGCAGCAACAACUCGACGCCAGCCAGCAGCAGCAGCGCACGCAGCAGCAGCGCCUGUAGAGGCGCACGCCAGCAGCACCAGCGCACGCAGCAACAGCGCCUGUAGAGGCGCACGCCAGUAGCAACUCAAGGAAACAGAAGCCGCCGGUAAAGGCAGCAACCAGCAGCCCACCAGCCGCCUACCUCUCCCCUUCUCCCAUCGCUUCUAUUCUUCUUGUUCUCCCUUUCUCCGUCUCCUUUUGCAGCCAGCAACUAGCGAGACAGCAGCUCGCUCUUCCUCUCUAUUUUCCAGCGAAGGACGUACCAGCAGCAGAUCAAAACCAGCAACUCCGAUCAGCCCCAACAGUGACAGGUUUGGCCAUAUAUUCCGGCAAGAAUGACAUCGAAAUCCGGCGAAACUCAAAGACGGAUCUUAACAGAUCCGUCCAGGUUCGAUUUCUUUAUUUAGUUUAUUAUUCAAUCUCCUAAUGUUAUUAUUGUGUCUAUAUAUAAAAUUUUCAGCAUGUUUAAUUUAAAAAAAUAAGUGACUUCAGCUUGAGUAUUUUCGUUUAGCUUCUUUACUUGUCAUUUAAUCUUAGAGUGCGUUCAUUGUGAUUAUGUCAUUUGGUUUACCAAAAUGAUUAUCGUUGGAAUGAGCUUCCCAUAUGAUUUGAUUAUCACAUAUUCCCUCUUGAUGUAAUAAAAAAAAAUUGGUGACAUUUUACCUCUUUGUAAUCGAUUGUAAACCUUUUGAAAAUUAGAAUAAUUGGUUAUCUAGCUUAAUUACGGCAUAUAAUGAAACGUUGUUAUAAUUGUUUGUUUGUAAUUCAAUUUUGUUAAUACAUUAUGUGUGGUUGACUUCAUUCCAUCUAUCAUAACCUAUAGAGUUAGAGUAACUUUGUAAUUUCGUAUUUGAAUCACUUGGUUGUCUUAUCGAAAAUGGUAUAAUAGUUUGAGUUAUAACUUAAUUUCAAUCCAAUUUAAUUUAUUUAGUUGAGCUCAUUAAGCUUAGGAUUUGCUUAUAGUAAGUAUAUAUUGAUCCAAUUGUGAUUUGUUACGGUGUCUUUUAAAUGGUAUUUGUUGAUUUCUUGUAUCCCUUAAAUUAUUAUAUUCAUCUUUAGUUGAUUAUUUAUUACCUUGAUUAACUUUAAUAUUCUUACAUGUUGUAUUUUUAGAAAGGUGAUCUUAAUUAAGUCAAGAGAAUUGCAUUGAUUUCUUACUUGCUUAUUUAUGGUAAAAUAAUAUUUUCUGAUGUUGGCUUCUUUUUUUUAAGGAAAAUAUAUAUUACUCUUCUCAUUUUUAUUACUUGCUUAUAUUUGGUAAAAUAUUUAAAUAAUUUGGCUGAUUUGAUUUCCUUCAAAAAAUAAGGAAAUAGUAUUACAUUUGACUCCUUAAUUUAUUUAUUUCCCUAUUAAGUGCACCCCUCUUUGCUAUAUAAAUAAGACCCCUUUUAUUUGUUUAAGGAGAGGAAUUGAUCAACUCAACAAUACAUACACUCAUUCACUCUCAAAAUCACAAGUUCUCAUCACUCUUCAUUGUCAUUGCUCUCUUGCUACUCUAAAUACAUUAAUAUUUCGAUAAACAUUCAAGUGCUCUUCUUCGCUACCUUGCUUUUUGCUUUUGUUCGAGUAAAGGUUGGAUCAACUUGCUUUUCAUUGCUACCAUUUCUAAUCUACUCAAACGUUAUUUGACUGCUUUAACAGGUUCCAAACUUGAAGUUCAAGUUGAAGAUUAACUGAAGAAGGAUUUAUUUAUUUGUUUGAAUGUAUAUAUAUAUCUAUAUAUUUUUAUUUUUUCGCUAUUUUAUUUAUUCGAAUGUUGUAACAAUUGUAACCCUAAAGAUCAUAUAAUAAAUUUAUUUGGGGGGUUGUCUAGGGGAGAGGGAUUUAUAUGCUCAUUUGUUCGUUAUAUUUUUUAGAAAUCAUGCCUAUAGGUUUGUCUUUAACCACCUAGAUUUAAUGUUUAUAGGUGUUAUAAUCUAAUCAAUUUUCAAUUUGCUUGACACUUUUGUUAAUGAAGUCUGAAAAAUAAUAAACUAGAUUCCGUUAAUGUUAAAAGCAAAUCAUAGUAACUUAAUAGGCCGAUUAGGUGUUUUAAUAAUGUUAUAAUUUUAGCAUCAUCUUGUCAUAUAGAAACCAUGUCUAAGGUUUAAUUUGUUCAUAUCAUUUACAAAAUCAUGCAUAUAUAUGUUACAUUGUUUUUUUUACAAAAUCAUGCAUAUAUAUGUCACAUUGUUUUUUUUUUUUUUAAAACACCUAGAAAUCAUGUCUAUAGGUUUGUAAAUAAUUUUUUUUAACAAAAUUUGUUUGUGCAUAUUUGUGCCCUCCCCUUAAAAUUAGUUAAUAUCAUUAGAAAUCCUAUUUGUCCUCUUGAAGAUUUCCGCAUUCAUUAUGCAACUUUUUUUUAUUUAGAAUCAUCUAUGCAUCUAGCAAGUUACUUAGUUUAAAAAUAUUUCAUAUCAAAACCUUGCAACAUAAUUCAAUCUUUCUUUAAAUUUUGGAUUGAUUAUGACUCUGCUUAUUUUUGAAAUAAAUUAUAAAGUACUAUCUCCUAACCUAUCGUUAGUGGGAAAGUCAAAGGAACUACGAGGUCUAGUUCCAAUUUUUUAAACCCGAUGCGUCCCCGGAAGUACCACUUCCCAUGAAUUUCAAAAAGAAUUAUGUGCAUUUAUAUGUAAAUGUUUAUGUGCCUACGUGUGAACUAAAUCCUUUAAAUCAUUUUUCAAAACAUAACUAUUUUUAGACCGACCUCAAAUCAAAAUUGUUUCUAUGGUGGAGGAGCGCGAUCAAUAAUAUCGUGGCAUCAUCCCUAUAAAGAAACAAACAUUUUUUUAAUAAAAAUUCCUAUUCAAAACUUAUCAAUUUUUAACUUUACUUUUGCAUAUACUAAUUGCUUAAUUUUUGCCCAAUUCGUCUUAUAACAUAGUCUCAUAUGCUUAAAUAAAAAAUAAAAUUUGAUUAUUUAUUUAUUGUCAUCACCUAGCCUUGCAUGCUUAAAUUAAUAGUAUUAAUUGUUUUAUAUUUGUUAUCACUUAGUAAGAUUAAAUAAAUUAAUAAAUUAAACAACCUUGAUUGCUACUUGUACCCCCACAUGGAUUGCAUGAGAUACGGCCGGGACCCACACUUGUGGACCUCGAGGGGUGCCCAACACCUUCCCCUCGAGGUAAUUUGAACCCUUACCCUAAUCUCUGGCCCGUUGACCUUAGUUAGACUUAGUUAGGUUAGAUAGGUGCCCUAACGCGCCUUAAUUCGUUAGGUGGCGACUCCAAACUCAAAAAUCCCAAAAGAGUUGUUAGGUCGUGCACAAAACUCAUUUUCCGCGAAAAUGGGGCGCGACAGAAUGGCGACUCCGCUGGGGAUGUUAGGUUCUUACCAUUACGUGUUAACUGCUUAUUUAUGUGGGGUUUACUUUAUAUUGUUUAUUUCAUUAUUUGCUAGGUGUUUAUCAUAUUUAGUUGCCUUAUUAAUUGUAUUCUUUUCAUGUUACACCCAUUUUCCCUCUUCUUAUUUGUUUAUUACCAUGUUUCAUAUUCUCCUGUUUCCCUUAUUUGUUUACUACAUUUAAUUCUAUAUUCUCUUUCCUUAUUUGCGUGAUUUUUUACACCUUUAUAUGUUUAAAUUUCUUUUAUUUAUUUAUGCUUAUUUAUUUACUGUUUUAUAAAAUGCUUAUACGUUACCAUUUUCCAAUUGAAAUGCUAAGUGUUUAGUGCUUUGAUAACUGACAUUCCGCUCAUAUUUCCCCCAAUUGGGACCUUCUCCUUUUUUCAUUUUUCGUGAUGUUGUGCCUUUGCACCUCUCACAACUACUCCAAUUCUAUUCAAGUACCCAUUAUAGAGAGUCGGCAUAUGCGUGGACGUAACGGAUAGUUUUACUACCGCGAAAUCACGAGCCUCUCGCAUAGAAUCCCUUUCAAGUCCGCGUCAAGACAACUCUUAGAAGUCUUUGUUAGGUCAUACAUGCUGCAUAAACCCUAGGUGGUUUGACCCUUGGCGUCAAUCCAUAUAAUUAGUAGCCACCCUAUUGCCUAAAGGGCCCCAACACCCUUUAGACAAAUUGCAUAUUUAUGUGUCAAUUUGAUCAUCAUAUUUUAAAUCAAGUCAUCAUGUCAAAAUGGAGUUAAAAUCUUUCUUUGACUCUAAACUUCAAAUUGGCAAAGUAUAACUUGAUUCAAUUAUGUGACCUUAUUAACUAUUAUAAUUGUCUCACUUUGAGUUAUUGUGUCAUUCAUUUGAUAUUAUAAUUUUGGCUUACUAUAUAAUAACUCGGUUUUAUUUUUGAUUUACUUCUUUGACUAAAGGUUGUCUAGUAUUUGGAUAAUUGGCUCGACUAAGAUUCUGCAAUAUGACAAAUAUGUUCAACCUUCGAAAAAAUCACUCAUCUUCUCGUCCAACACAAAGUACCUUUUGGACCAUCUCUCCUCAUCCUAUUCCUACUCACACCCUCUCUCAACAAAGGUCUCCAACACGCCUCAAUUUUGAUGCUUCACAAUAUGAGGGAAUAGGUGACAAGGUAGAGAAGUCUAAGCUAGAUGCACUGCAGCAAAAAAUGCAUGACUUGGAGAAAAGGGUAAAUGGAGGACUACAUUCAAUACCUACUCAUGACCUAAGAUAUAAAAAUUUAUGUCUACACCCAGGAGUUGAAUUGCCAUCAGGAUUUAAAAUUCCAAAAUUCAACAUGUUUGACGGACGUGGGGAUCCGAUAGCACAUCUCAAAGAUUUUUGCAGCAGGCUAGUUGGCUUAGAAAACAAUGAACCUCUCCUAAUGAGGUUAUUUAUUCAAAGCUUAUCAGGAAUAGCCUUCACUUGGUACGUCAAACAAGACUUUGACAAAUGGCUCUCAUGGGAAGACAUGGCUCGAGACUUUGUGGAACAAUACAAGUUUAAUACAAAGGUUGACCCUACAAUGUUAAAUUUGAUCAAAUUGAAGAAAUUAAGUCAUGAAUCUUUUGAGGAAUAUGUCAUACGAUGGAGAAUGGAAGCCUCCAAGAUACGCCACUUACCACAUGAGGAGGAGUUGGUCCAAACUCUCAUCAGAUCACUUGAGGGUAUAUACUACAAAACCCUAUUCUUUGCUGGUAUUCAAGGUUUCGAUAGUCUAAUUCGAAUUGGAAAAGAGUUAGAAUAUGGCAUUCAAUCUGGAAGAAUUGUUGAUACACAAAUUCCUUUUCAAGUCCUGAAAGACUCAUUAGAUGAAAAGAACGAAGAUGCAUCAACCUAUAUACUUCCGAAACAAAGAAAUCAGAAUAUUGAGCAAAUUCAUGCUAUUCUUGAGCCUUCCAACCCUCAGGUAUCUCAACAUAAGGUGAGGAAACCUCGUGUCUUCACUCCCUUAAGGGAAACUUUGACCGAUAUUUUUCAGAGAUUAUGCGCUAAAGGACUUCUAAGACCAAUAAAUGGAUGGAUUCCCAAGCACUCUACUUCAAACUUUGAUCUAUCAAAAAAUUGUGCCUACCAUUCAAACAUUCAAGGUCAUGACACUGAAGAAUGUGCAGCAUUGAGAAAUAAGAUUCAGAAUAUGAUUGAAAAAGGAAAAAUUAUAGUGCAACAAGGACAACAAAACAACAAUUGCAAUCCUUCUAUGGCGAAUACAUUCAUCGUUCAAGGAGAUCCUACAAAGAUAUACGUUAGGCACUUCACAAGGAAGCGUAAAUCACAUCAGAAAAAUUGAUAUGGACAAGACUCUUAUGAACAAAGUUGGCUUUAUUGUUCUCAGACCUUAUGCCGAAAACCUUCCUCAUUCCUUUCAUUUUUUAUUUUUUUUUCAUUGUAAUUCUGAACUACGUUUGACCUGAUUUCCUUUUUGGAUACGUAGGCAACCCUUGAUGGGUCCGGUCUCUAUCAAAUAAAUUUUCUUUCUUUCCCAUUGUCAUUCAAAACACUCAUUUACAAAUUCAAAUCUAGACUAAUUGACAAUCCAUGAACAUAAUUGACACUUGAAUUCGAAGUCGAGCCUUCAUGUCCAAAUACAAGACAAUCAUUUUUUUUUGGAACUUACAAUUUUUCUUUGAGUGAAGCAGGAUCAAAAAUUCCCCCACUAAUAAACUGGGGCAGAAUUUUUGAGGAAACCUCAAAAAUUUUCACAAAGAUAUUUAACAAAGUGAGUAUACAUCUUAUACUCUAAACUGGGGCAGAAAUUUUUGAGAAAUCCUCAAAAAUUUCAUCACAACGGAAUGCAACUCUAAAGGAAAAACAAGCACAGGUAUGACCAUCUCUCGCCUUUUGAAUUUACGAUUUUUCUCUGGAUGCAGGAAUAACUUAUAUGAGCGUACUGUCAUAUUUAGGAGCUACAAUGUAAGUCAUACUAUCCUCAGAUUAUCUUUUUUUAAGAGGCUAUUAUCAACUUUCUUCUACGACUGACUGAAUAUAUAAGCUCUCCCACCUUAUUAUAAUACGAUAUUUAGGCUUUUCCGCCUCAAAAUGCGAUAUUUAGGCUCUUCCGCCUUACAAUAGGAUUUUAGGCUCUUCCGCCUUACAAUAGGAUGUUUAGGCUCGUCUGCCUUACAAUACGACAUUUAGGCUCGUCUGCCUUACAAUACGACAUUUAGGCUCUUCCACCUUACAAUAGGAUAUAUAGGCUCAUCUGCCUUACAAUAUGAUGUUUAGGCUCGUCUGCCUUACAAUACGACAUUUAGGCUCUUCCGCCUUACAAUAGGAUUUUAGGCUCUUCCGCCUUACAAUAGGAUGUCUAGGCUCGUCUGCCUUACAAUACGACAUUUAGGCUCGUCUGCCUUACAAUACGACAUUUAGGUUCUUCCACCUUACAAUAGGAUAUAUAGGCUCAUCUGCCUUACAAUAUGAUGUUUAGGCUCGUCUGCCUUACAAUACGACAUUUAGGCUCUUCCGCCUUACAAUAGGAUUUUAGGCUUUUCCGCCUUAAAAUAGGAUGUUUAGGCUCGUCUGCCUUACAAUACGACAUUCAGGUUCUUCCGCCUUACAAUAGGAUAUUUAGGCUCUUCCGCCUUACAAUAGGAUGUUUAGGCUCGUCUGCCUUACAAUACGACAUUUACUUUCGUCUCUCCUUACAACCAGACCUUUUGCUUAUAUUAUUAUAUGUUUAUACUAUCAAAUAUUUUGGAGUUUGACGUUAUUCUUCAGAGAUGGGUUUCAAUCCUUCAAGAAGUUAAAAACUAUCAAGGCUUGCACUACGUCUCAAACAGAUACGUUCCUUAUCACCUCUUGUCAUGUAUCUUGAACUCAUAUUUUAUUACUAUUGGUUAUAUUUUAUCUAUUUAUAAGCUAACAUUUUAUCUAGAAUUUGCAGAUAUAAUCGAUCGCCCUUGAUCACAAUUAUCAUGCUAUCCGCUGUCACAACAAAGACUCUAUCAAUUCUUCAAACCCCGAGCUUCGCUCAAAGGCUGAUAGCCUCACUCUAUCACGCUCUUCCUGUAUCUGUCACGAUCUUCUAGCCUCUCAAUCUCUCUUCUCGCUACUCUAAUUUUAUCCAUUCAAGCCGAUAUCGUGCCUUCCGAACACCUUAGCGCUCUUUCAACUUUUAAGGGCUUCAUUUGCUCUUGAAUCUAGAACUACACACGACCUGAUUCUCGUAUAACCAGAGAUAUGUAGGCGACUUAAAACCAAAGUCUCGGUCGUACCCUUUUUCAACUCUAUAUCGUUUCAAUUGAUCCAACUGACAUCUCUCGUCGGUCGGACAAAAUCGGCUACUAAGUCAACGUUGGUUGCCUGACAAUUCAUUCUUCAUUCUCAAUCAACCAAGGGGCAGCUGUUGACACCCAAUUUUGACCGACCUUUAACCAUUUUUUAGGAUUAUAUUCGACUAAAUACGUAUUUUAAAAUUUACUUAAAGUUUCGAAGUUUUAGUCGAUUUUUCUCAAAAAUUAUAUAUUUUAGUAUCAUUUUUUCUUUAUAAAAUUAUUGUAAAUAUCAUUUCAAAUGUUUUAAAAUUUAGAUGAUUUUCAAUUAUACAAAUAUUUUAAUGUAUGUAGUAUUUUAAUAAAAUUAUUUAAAUUCUAGCCUAUUCUAUUCUAAAAUCUUCCAAUUCUAGCCACUUGAAUUAGAGUUUUAUUACAAUCAUAGCCUCCCUUUCAUUUCAAAUCUAGCCACUUUAAUUGUAAUUUUAGCCAUUCUAUAUUUUUUUUGCUAAUCUAAUUUCAAAACUUCAUCUUUUGAUCUCAUCCGUUCAUCCCUAAAAAUAAAUCCUAGAUCGAAUCCUAACCCUUCAUCGCUAUCUAAUCUAAUGGUUGUGAUUAACUCUCUAAUUCUCUCAACAUCAAAUGACCAAAACCUAAACAUACACUCUCCCCCCCUCUCUCCAAGCCGUCGCUCCCUCUUCUCUUCUUCCGCCUCCCUCUUCUCCUCUCUUCUCCCUAUCCCCAUAUCCUCUUCUUCUUUUUUUUCUUCGAGCAGCAGCAGCAACCGUGGACAGCAGCAGCAGCGCCAACAACCCCAACGCCCAGCAGCUUCAUCCGGCAGCAACAACUCGACGCCAGCCAGCAGCAGCAGCGCACGCAGCAGCAGCGCCUGUAGAGGCGCACGCCAGCAGCACCAGCGCACGCAGCAACAGCGCCUGUAGAGGCGCACGCCAGUAGCAACUCAAGGAAACAGAAGCCGCCGGUAAAGGCAGCAACCAGCAGCCCACCAGCCGCCUACCUCUCCCCUUCUCCCAUCGCUUCUAUUCUUCUUGUUCUCCCUUUCUCCGUCUCCUUUUGCAGCCAGCAACUAGCGAGACAGCAGCUCGCUCUUCCUCUCUAUUUUCCAGCGAAGGACGUACCAGCAGCAGAUCAAAACCAGCAACUCCGAUCAGCCCCAACAGUGACAGGUUUGGCCAUAUAUUCCGGCAAGAAUGACAUCGAAAUCCGGCGAAACUCAAAGAUGGAUCUUAACAGAUCCGUCCAGGUUCGAUUUCUUUAUUUAGUUUAUUAUUCAAUCUCCUAAUGUUAUUAUUGUGUCUAUAUAUAAAAUUUUCAGCAUGUUUAAUUUAAAAAAAUAAGUGACUUCAGCUUGAGUAUUUUCGUUUAGCUUCUUUACUUGUCAUUUAAUCUUAGAGUGCGUUCAUUGUGAUUAUUUCAUUUGGUUUACCAAAAUGAUUAUCGUUGGAAUGAGCUUCCCAUAUGAUUUGAUUAUCACAUAUUCCCUCUUGAUGUAAUAAAAAAAAAUUGGUGACAUUUUACCUCUUUGUAAUCGAUUGUAAACCUUUUGAAAAUUAGAAUAAUUGGUUAUCUAGCUUAAUUACGGCAUAUAAUGAAACGUUGUUAUAAUUGUUUGUUUGUAAUUCAAUUUUGUUAAUACAUUAUGUGUGGUUGACUUCAUUCCAUCUAUCAUAACCUAUAGAGUUAGAGUAACUUUGUAAUUUCGUAUUUGAAUCACUUGGUUGUCUUAUCGAAAAUGGUAUAAUAGUUUGAGUUAUAACUUAAUUUCAAUCCAAUUUAAUUUAUUUAGUUGAGCUCAUUAAGCUUAGGAUUUGCUUAUAGUAAGUAUAUAUUGAUCCAAUUGUGAUUUGUUACGGUGUCUUUUAAAUGGUAUUUGUUGAUUUCUUGUAUCCCUUAAAUUAUUAUAUUCAUCUUUAGUUGAUUAUUUAUUACCUUGAUUAACUUUAAUAUUCUUACAUGUUGUAUUUUUAGAAAGGUGAUCUUAAUUAAGUCAAGAGAAUUGCAUUGAUUUCUUACUUGCUUAUUUAUGGUAAAAUAAUAUUUUCUGAUGUUGGCUUCUUUUUUUUAAGGAAAAUAUAUAUUACUCUUCUCAUUUUUAUUACUUGCUUAUAUUUGGUAAAAUAUUUAAAUAAUUUGGCUGAUUUGAUUUCCUUCAAAAAAUAAGGAAAUAGUAUUACAUUUGACUCCUUAAUUUAUUUAUUUCCCUAUUAAGUGCACCCCUCUUUGCUAUAUAAAUAAGACCCCUUUUAUUUGUUUAAGGAGAGGAAUUGAUCAACUCAACAAUACAUACACUCAUUCACUCUCAAAAUCACAAGUUCUCAUCACUCUUCAUUGUCAUUGCUCUCUUGCUACUCUAAAUACAUUAAUAUUUCGAUAAACAUUCAAGUGCUCUUCUUCGCUACCUUGCUUUUUGCUUUUGUUCGAGUAAAGGUUGGAUCAACUUGCUUUUCAUUGCUACCAUUUCUAAUCUACUCAAACGUUAUUUGACUGCUUUAACAGGUUCCAAACUUGAAGUUCAAGUUGAAGAUUAACUGAAGAAGGAUUUAUUUAUUUGUUUGAAUGUAUAUAUAUAUCUAUAUAUUUUUAUUUUUUCGCUAUUUUAUUUAUUCGAAUGUUGUAACAAUUGUAACCCUAAAGAUCAUAUAAUAAAUUUAUUUGGGGGGUUGUCUAGGGGAGAGGGAUUUAUAUGCUCAUUUGUUCGUUAUAUUUUUUAGAAAUCAUGCCUAUAGGUUUGUCUUUAACCACCUAGAUUUAAUGUUUAUAGGUGUUAUAAUCUAAUCAAUUUUCAAUUUGCUUGACACUUUUGUUAAUGAAGUCUGAAAAAUAAUAAACUAGAUUCCGUUAAUGUUAAAAGCAAAUCAUAGUAACUUAAUAGGCCGAUUAGGUGUUUUAAUAAUGUUAUAAUUUUAGCAUCAUCUUGUCAUAUAGAAACCAUGUCUAAGGUUUAAUUUGUUCAUAUCAUUUACAAAAUCAUGCAUAUAUAUGUUACAUUGUUUUUUUACAAAAUCAUGCAUAUAUAUGUCACAUUGUUUUUUUUUUUUUUAAAACACCUAGAAAUCAUGUCUAUAGGUUUGUAAAUAAUUUUUUUUAACAAAAUUUGUUUGUGCAUAUUUGUGCCCUCCCCUUAAAAUUAGUUAAUAUCAUUAGAAAUCCUAUUUGUCCUCUUGAAGAUUUCCGCAUUCAUUAUGCAACUUUUUUUUAUUUAGAAUCAUCUAUGCAUCUAGCAAGUUACUUAGUUUAAAAAUAUUUCAUAUCAAAACCUUGCAACAUAAUUCAAUCUUUCUUUAAAUUUUGGAUUGAUUAUGACUCUGCUUAUUUUUGAAAUAAAUUAUAAAGUACUAUCUCCUAACCUAUCGUUAGUGGGAAAGUCAAAGGAACUACGAGGUCUAGUUCCAAUUUUUUAAACCCGAUGCGUCCCCGGAAGUACCACUUCCCAUGAAUUUCAAAAAGAAUUAUGUGCAUUUAUAUGUAAAUGUUUAUGUGCCUACGUGUGAACUAAAUCCUUUAAAUCAUUUUUCAAAACAUAACUAUUUUUAGACCGACCUCAAAUCAAAAUUGUUUCUAUGGUGGAGGAGCGCGAU
rnacentral:lncRNA from 1 species